rnacentral:misc_RNA from 1 species
GUCACGCGCGUUAUACCUAAGCAUUAUCUCUAUCAUCGGCGUGCGACGAUUGACAACGAUCCGCCGACCGACUCGACGCCAGAUCUGUCAAGUGGUCCGUUUCGUAUUACACGUUCUUCUCCGUGGAUCUUGGGCCCCACCGUUGCAACGGCACCUAAUACGAACCACUCUGAAAUCUAGAAACCCGGUGAAUAAUCUGUUCGAUCUGAGUAAACGAAAAUAACUGUUUUAUCUUCAUCAAAACGUUGUAGUUUUUAUUACCUUCUACGAUUUCAGUCGAGGUUUCGGCAAACUCCGAAUUCUCGAACUCGUCGAUGUAUCAACAAAAGUUCUCAAACGCUAAUCGUGAUAUUUUCGAUACUAUUUCCGGUUGACGGCAAGAGUUCAGUGCUUUUGUUGUUCUGUCUCCGUGCCGGUUCCACUGAAUUCCGGAACACUCGAUUUGUCUCCUCCACUGUCCCAACGACUCCGGUUAGUGCUACGCAUUGCGUUUGAAAAAUAUACCACCUCUGACAUACUUACUGGUACUUAAGACCAUACUGUGUAUGCUUGCAAAUACUCAAAAAUAAUUUAUGAUGAUGGUUUAUCAGUUAUUCGUUGUUGUCAAAAGUAUCAUAUACAGUAGCUGAUCUGAUGGGAAUACCUAUAUCAAUUUGGACACAUUUUGGAAUAGCAUCAGUGAUUGGUAUCCUAGAAAAUUUCAUUUUUCUCUCAAAUGAUGUAUGUGUUGUUACUUUAAUCAUAUGUGAAUAAUGAAUUAUUUCCAUUUGUGACUAACUAUACCUGGAUUAAAAUGUUGUACAAAAUAAUUAUCAAUGUUGAUUUAUGCCAUAGUUUCAAAUAUCGAUGCAUAUAUAUAUAUAUAUAU